rnacentral:rRNA from 1 species
AGCUCCAAUAGCGUAUACUAAAGUUGUUGCAGUUAAAAAGCUCGUAGUUGAAUUUCUGGUCUCGGACGGCGGUCUGCCUCAAACGAGGUACGCACCAUCUGUCCGAGUCCAUCCUCGGGGAGAACGUGUCUGUGAUUAAGUUCAUGGGCUCGGGACCUCCGUCAUUUACUGUGAGCAAAAUAGAGUGUUCAAAGCAGGCUUAUGCCGUUGAAUACAUUAGCAUGGAAUAAUAAGAUAAGACCUUGGUCUAUUUUGUUGGUUUGUACUCCAAGGUAAUGAUUAAU